GACGCAGCGACGCCGCGUGAGGGAUGACGGCCUUCGGGUUGUAAACCUCUUUCAGCUCCGAUGAAGCCUUCGGGUGACGGUAGGGGCAGAAGAAGCACCGGCCAACUACGUGCCAGCAGCCGCGGUAAUACGUAGGGUGCAAGCGUUGUCCGGAAUUAUUGGGCGUAAAGAGCUCGUAGGCGGUUUGUCGCGUCGACUGUGAAAACUCAGGGGCUCAACUCCGAGCUUGCAGUUGAUACGGGCAGACUAGAGUUCGGCAGGGGAGACUGGAAUUCCUGGUGUAGCGGUGAAAUGCGCAGAUAUCAGGAGGAACACCGGUGGCGAAGGCGGGUCUCCCGGGCCGAUACUGACGCUGAGGAGCGAAAGCGUGGGGAGCGAACAGGAUUAGAUACCCUGGUAGUCCACGCCGUAAACGCUGGGCGCUAGGUGUGGGGUCCCUUCCACGGGUUCCGCGCCGCAGCUAACGCAUUAAGCGCCCCGCCUGGGGAGUACGGAAUCUAG
rnacentral:rRNA from 1 species